UAGGGAAUCUUCCACAAUGGGCGCAAGUCUGAUGGAGCAACGCCGCGUGAGUGAAGAAGGGUUUCGGCUCGUAAAGCUCUGUUGUUAAAGAAGAACACGUAUGAGAGUAACUGUUCAUACGUUGACGGUAUUUAACCAGAAAGUCACGGCUAACUACGUGCCAG
rnacentral:rRNA from 1 species